rnacentral:lncRNA from 10 species
GAACACAGACCAACUAGAACACCUUCAGGAGAGAGGGCAACCAGGAGAGAUAGUUAAUAAAUGCCUCCUGUGUCAGGGACUAGCUUUCUGGUGGGGAUUGGUGGUGGCUGGUCACAGAAGGGGCUUUAGGAAGCUGUGAAGGAUAGAAGCUGACACAGGAGCAGGGACGUGGUAUAUCCUCACGCAAACAGGGAGUUGUGGGGAGCUCAGGGAGAUGCAGCGUGCUGAGACUGAAGAGCUGGCAAAU